CGGGGCUGCCGCUCUCUCCGCCGCCCUGGAAGGAAGGAAGGCAGGCAAACCGGCAGCCUGAGGCGGCACCGGCUUUAGCCAGGGCUUGUCCUCUGGAAAGGAGCCCCUCCGUGCCCCUGCAGAACGAGGGGCCCCGUUAACGCCGCCAGGAAGCUAGCCGGGAGGCGCCACCAGUAAGUGGGCUGGCCUGGCCUCCUGAGGGCCGGGAAGGCCCGGCUGCGAGAGGGCCGGCUACCGAAAGGGUAUUUCCAGACAUGGCGAAACUAUGUGGGGAGCCUCAGGAGGUGGGAGUUCCUUCUACCUGGGCUUUCCCAGCCUGUGCGAUGAGGCCCUGCUUGAGGAACCGGAGGAAAGGAGGACAGAGAAAUUGGCAGAAAGGCCUUGGAUAUUAUACCAAAAAUAGCUUCUCAGAUAUUUCACAGAAAAACAUGUGAUAUCUUGCACUGGCAACCCUGGACAAAACUUCUGAUGUUCUCUACGUGACAGUAACGUGCCCUGGGAAGCUCUUGCGGACACAGCCCCACCUGAAAUGGAAGAGCCCCCAGGAAUUGGGCUGGGAACCUUCACACACACAAAUGUCAGCCACAGCUCCAGAGGGGGCAGGAGCAAU